AUUCCAGCUCCAAUAGCGUAUAUUAUUAUUGUUGCGGUUAAAAAGCUCGUAGUUGGAUCUCGGUUUCGGGCGAGCGGUGUACCUUGCGGUAUUUACUGUUUGCCCGGACGAUUUUGUUGGUUCGUUUAUGGUUCUCUUAACCGAGUGCCAUAAGUGGCCAGCACGUUUACUUUGAAAAAAUUGGAGUGCUCAAAGCAGGCGCUACAGCCUGAACAUUAGUGCAUGGAAUAAUGGAAUAGGAUCUCGGUUCUAUUUCGUUGGCUUUCGGAGUCGAGGUAAUGAUUAAUAGGGACAGACGGGGGCAUUCGUACUGCGACGUUAGAGGUGAAAUUCUUGGAUCGUCGCAAGACGAACUACUGCGAAAGCAUUUGCCAAGAAUGUUUUCAUUAAUCAAGAACGAAAGUUAGAGGUUCGAAGGCGAUCAGAUACCGCCCUAGUUCUAACCAUAAACGAUGUCGACCGGCGAUCCGUUAUCGUUAACUGAAUGACUUAACGGGCAGCCUCCGGGAAACCAGAGUGUUUGGAUUCCGGGGGAAGUAUGGUUGCAAAGCUGAAACUUAAAAGAAUUGACGGAAGGGCACCACCAGGAGUGGAGCCUGCGGCUUAAUUUGACUCAACACGGGAAAUCUCACCAGGCCCGGACACCGGAAGGAUUGACAGAUUGAGAGCUCUUUCUUGAUUCGGUGGGUGGUGGUGCAUGGCCGUUCUUAGUUGGUGGAGCGAUUUGUCUGGUUAAUUCCGAUAACGAACGAGACUCUGGCCUACUAACUAGACGUUAGAUCCCUUUGUGGGUCUAUCGCAGCUUCUUAGAGGGACGGGCGGCGUUUAGCCGCACGAGAUUGAGCAAUAACAGGUCUGUGAUGCCCUUAGAUGUUCUGGGCUGCACGCGCGCUACACUGAAGGAAUCAGCGUGUGUUCCCUACCCGAAAGGGUUGGGAAACCCGUUGAACCUCCUUCGUGAUGGGGAUUGGGGAUUGCAAUUAUUCCCCAUGAACGAGGAAUUCCCAGUAGGCGCGAGUCAUAAGCUUGCGUCGAUUACGUCCCUGCCCUUUGUACACACCGCCCGUCGCUACUACCGAUCGAGUGAUUUAGUGAGGCCUUCGGACUGGUCUUCAGUAUGGCUUUCGGGUCGUGUUGGAGUACCGGAAAGAUGACCAAACUUGAUCACUUAGAGGAAGUAAAAGUC
rnacentral:rRNA from 1 species